GACGAACGCUGGCGGCGUGCUUAACACAUGCAAGUCGAACGGAAAGGCUCCAGCUUGCUGGAGUACUCGAGUGGCGAACGGGUGAGUAACACGUGGGUAAUCUGCCCUGCACUCUGGGAUAAGCCUGGGAAACUGGGUCUAAUACUGGAUAUGACCUUUCUCCUUAUGGGGUUUGGUGGAAAGUUUUUCGGUGUAGGAUGAGCCCGCGGCCUAUCAGCUUGUUGGUGGGGUGAUGGCCUACCAAGGCGACGACGGGUAGCCGGCCUGAGAGGGUGAUCGGCCACAUUGGGCCUGAGAUACGGCCCAGACUCCUACGGGAGGCAGCAGUGGGGAAUAUUGCACAAUGGGCGGAAGCCUGAUGCAGCGACGCCGCGUGAGGGAUGACGGCCUUCGGGUUGUAAACCUCUUUCAGCAGGGACGAAGCGUAAGUGACGGUACCUGCAGAAGAAGCACCGGCUAACUAUGUG
rnacentral:rRNA from 1 species